CUGCUGCUGCUGCUGCCACCGCUGCCGCCGCCGCCGCCGCCACUACUGCUGCCAGCAGAGCUGUUGGGAGUGAGCCUCUCUUCUCCCAGAUAACCAGCUCCGUGGCAUCUCCCGCUCCUUGGCCCUACGCGGACCUCCCCGCCCCAGGGAACAAAAGCAGAGUCCAGCCGCCCUGUUCUGCAGCCAGAGGAUGAUGAGUCGAGUGGGCUGAGCGGAGAGUGUGGUCCUCAGCGGUUGGAAGGUAUAAAGAGAGGAGUAAAUGGGCAUCUAACAACAGCAGGACACCCUGCGGUGGCUCAUUGCACCCAUCCUACAGCCGCUCCCUGCCUUUUCUCCAUGAUUCCUGACUUCUGGCCCUGGCAAUCUCAGAAGAGCUUCAUUGAAUUCCCUUCCACUCAGAUCCUGGG
rnacentral:lncRNA from 1 species